rnacentral:rRNA from 1 species
GACGAACCGUGCGAACGUUGUUCGGAAUCACUGGGCUUAAAGGGCGCGUAGGCGGGUCUUCAAGUUUGGGGUGAAAUCCUCUGGCUCAACCGGAGAACUGCCUCGAAUACUGAAGGUCUCGAGGGGGAUAGGGGCAUGCGGAACUACGGAUGGAGCGGUGAAAUGCGUUGAUAUCCGUAGGAACUCCGGUGGCGAAGGCGGCGUGCUGGAUCCCUUCUGACGCUGAGGCGCGAAAGCCAGGGGAGCAAACGGG